rnacentral:rRNA from 1 species
CGUAGGGUGCGAGCGUUAAUCGGAAUUACUGGGCGUAAAGCGUGCGCAGGCGGUUUAGUAAGACAGGCGUGAAAUCCCCGGGCUUAACCUGGGAACUGCGCUUGUGACUGCUAAGCUAGAGUACAGCAGAGGGGGGGUGGAAUUCCACGUGUAGCAGUGAAAUGCGUAGAGAUGUGGAGGAACACCAAUGGCGAAGGCAGCCCCCUGGGUCGAUACUGACGCUCAUGCACGAAAGCGUGGGUAGCAAACAGGAUUAGAUACCCUGGUAGUCCACGCCCUAAACGAUGUCAACUAGGUGUUGGGAGGGUAAAACCUUUUAGUACCGGAGCUAACGCGUGAAGUUGACCGCCUGGGGAGUACGGCCGCAAGGUUA